rnacentral:rRNA from 1 species
UACGUAGGGAGCGAGCGUUGUCCGGAUUUAUUGGGCGUAAAGAGCUCGUAGGCGGUUCGGUAAGUCGGGUGUGAAAACCCCCAGGCUCAACCUGGGGACGCCACCCGAUACUGCUGUGACUUGAGUCUGGUAGGGGGAGCACGGAAUUCCUGGUGUAGCGGUGAAAUGACGCAGAUAUCAGGAGGAACACCGGUGGCGAAGGCGGAUCUCUGGGCCAUUACUGACGCUGAGGAGCGAAAGCAUGGGGAGCGAACAGG